GGACAGCCAUCGCCGAGUCCCCGAGACGCGAGUCAGGGGAGCCGGGGACCCACAUGUCCCUGGGGUGAAUCGGGCGUCCGUGCGCGAGCGCGGGGCCCGUAGGAGACCUUCCUGCUCCGAACCCGUCAGCUAACCCGGUAGGCGAGAGGGAAGGAAAGG
rnacentral:sRNA from 1 species